GAUGAACGCUGGCGGCGUGCCUAAUACAUGCAAGUCGAACGAAUCACUUCGGUGGUUAGUGGCGAACGGGUGAGUAAUACGUAAGCAACCUGCCUAUGGGACUGGGAUAACGUUUGGAAACGGACGCUAAUACCGGAUAGGUGGAGAGGAGGCAUCUCUUCUCUAUUAAAGUUUAGAUACACCGAUAGAUGGGCUUACGGCGCAUUAGCUAGUUGGUGAGGUAACGGCUCACCAAGGCGACGAUGCGUAUCCGAGCUGAGAGGCUGAUCGGACACACUGGGACUGAGACACGGCCCAGACUCCUACGGGAGACAGCAGUUAGGAAUAUUCGUCAAUGGGGGAAACCCUGAACGAGCAAUGCCGCGUGAGUGAUGAAGGCCCUAUGGGUCGUAAAACUCUGUUAUAAGGGAGAAACCUUGGUAUAGGAAAUGAUAUCAAGCUGACGGUACCUAUCAGAAAGCCCCGG
rnacentral:rRNA from 1 species